CGCAGACGGGAAGCUGCUCAGCACCGGCUUCAGCAGGAUGAGUGAGCGGCAACUCGCGCUCUGGGACCCGGUAGGCCAGGCCGCGCCGGGCGCGCUAGCUCGCUCCUUCUCUGGGUCUGCCGGGAGCGCCUUCCCGGGCUGUGGCUGGCGCCCAAGAGGCCAGAGCGGAGCGGGGAGCUCCCAUUCGGGAAAAGCCUCGCUGCGACUCCGGGGAGCCAGCAGACACCGCUGCUCUAGGGAUCGGCCUUUGAGCGCGCUUAAGGGUUCGGGAUCGGCUGAGAGCCGCGUGCCUCCUGCUCUCUCCAGGCCCGGAUGCUCUCCAGGUCAGGGGCCAGACGUGGCCCCGCAGGAAGCUGAGUGCUUAGGCCCCAUUUGUCUCUUCCCCGCAUCCGCUCCUCCACCCCGGACACCCAAGUUAGCAAGCUGGUUGCUCAUCCCUCCAUGCUCCUCAGGGCAGGCAGCUGGGUGAUGUCCCUCCCUGUCUCCCCCUCCCCCCAGGAGAGGUUUGCGGCCCACGAGGGGAUGAGGCCCAUGCGGGCCGUCUUCACGCGCCAGGGCCAUAUCUUCACCACGGGCUUCACCCGCAUGAGCCAGCGAGAGCUGGGCCUGUGGGACCCGGUAACGCAGCUGGAGGCUUGGGUUUUGCUGCGUCGCGUGAAGGAUCCUGCGCUGGCGCCCCCACCUGGUGAUGCCGAGUCCCUGGGGGUGGUUUGCUGUGACUGCAUGCGGCGCGCAGCGGAACAACUUCGAGGAGCCAGUGGCACUGCAGGAGAUGGACACAAGCAACGGGGUCCUAUUGCCCUUUUACGAUCCCGACUCCAGCAUCGUCUACCUGUGUGGCAAGGGCGACAGCAGCAUUCGGUACUUUGAGAUUACCGACGAGCCGCCUUUCGUGCACUACCUGAACACGUUCAGCAGCAAAGAGCCGCAGCGGGGCAUGGGUUUCAUGCCCAAAAGGGGACUGGAUGUCAGCAAGUGUGAGAUCGCCCGGUUCUACAAGCUACACGAAAGAAAGUGUGAACCUAUCAUCAUGACUGUGCCCCGCAAGUCAGACCUGUUCCAGGACGAUCUGUACCCGGAUACGCCAGGCCCGGAGCCGGCCCUAGAAGCGGACGAAUGGCUAUCCGGCCAGGACGCCGAACCCGUGCUCAUUUCGCUGAGGGACGGCUAUGUGCCCCCUAAGCACCGCGAGCUCCGGGUCACGAAGCGCAACAUCCUGGACCUUCGCCCGCCCUCCGGCCCCCGCCGCAGCCAGUCGGCCAGCGACGCCCCCUUGUCGCAGCACACUCUGGAGACGCUGCUGGAAGAGAUCAAGGCCCUCCGCGAGCGGGUGCAGGCCCAGGAGCAGCGCAUCACGGCUCUGGAGAACAUGCUGUGCGAGCUGGUGGACGGCACGGACUAGCCCCGCGCGCCAGGCAGGCGGAGCGGGGCGGGGCGGGGCGCACAAGCUCGGCCCCGCCCCGGCUUUUAGUCCCGAACUCCGGACCCCGCCUUCUUGGGCUGGGCCCGGGGGCGGGACUGGGAAGGGAACUCCGCCCCUCGCGGGAGACCAGAACUCUUGGAGCUUAGGGGAGACCCACGUCGCUCCAGCGGAGGCUGGACUGCGAGCCUCGUCUGGGACUCGGCUGGAGCUGGCCUAGGGAGGCCCGUGGUAACCUGGGGGGCUCAGCAAUGGUGCUGCACGGCGAGGUGGUGUCCCCCUUUGUCCUCCGCCCAGGGCAGGGAAAGUGCUUAGUAUUAGCGUGAUGCUUGGGGAUAUUGGAGCCUGAGCUUGACCUCAAACGGGUGGCGAUUUGAUGGGUACCCCCAGGCUGGGGAAAAUGACAGCGCUUCUCCUAAUCAGCUCACUGGAUUCCAUCACCCUGAGCGGUAAACCAGAUGGGCGUCACCCCAGUUCUGCAGACACAUACACAACCCCUUUGCUGCAGAGCCGGACCCAGUAGCUACACCCACAGCGGUCUGUGGUAGAGAGCUCUCUUCCUUCUUUCCACCGACAGGGGCGAGGGCUGCUUCCUCGCGGCAGCCCCCGCGAAGAAAUCUCGACAGAACUGGCAUGAGGAGUUAGGUUCAUCACAAAUACACACACACUGCCCCCAACCCUCUGCCGUUGCCUCUCUCAGAAAAACAAGACGUACUGAAUGAAAUAUUUUACUAAGCGUUCAGUCUGUGCCUCCUGCAUGGGUGGGAGUGAGGGGAACGAGACCCCCAGCCUCUGCAAAUGCUACCCCCAGGCUCCUGGGAGACCUGGCGAUGCACUCCUGGGCUCAGGGCCCAUCAGGCAGCCUCUUACCCUAGAGCUCUCUCCACUCUGAGGUUCAGAAGGACCCCAACCCACACCGUAGGCGUUCCCCCCAAGUAAAGUUAGGUAGCAAAAGCCUCCGGU
rnacentral:sRNA from 1 species